rnacentral:rRNA from 1 species
CAAGCGUUAUCCGGAAUCAUUGGGCGUAAAGCGCCUGUAGGUUGUUUAAUAAGUCCGUUGUUAAAGACUAGGGCUUAACCCUAGGAAAGCGAUGGAAACUGAUAGACUUGAGUAUGGCAGGGGUAGAGGGAAUUUCUAGUGUAGCGGUGAAAUGCGUAGAUAUUAGAAAGAACACCGGUGGCGAAAGCGCUCUACUGGACCAUUACUGACACUGAGAGGCGAAAGCUAGGGGAGCGAAAGGGAUUAGAUACCCCUGUAGUCCUAGCCGUAAACGAUGGAUACUAGAUGUUGUGCAAUUUGGACAGUAUCGUAGCUAACGCGUUAAGUAUCCCGCCUGGGGAGUACGCUCGCAAGGGUGAAACUCAAAGGAAUUGACGGGGGCCCGCACAAGCGGUGGAGCAUGUGGUUUAAUUCGAUGCAACGCGAAGAACCUUACCAGGGCUUGACAUACUACAGAUCUUUUUGAGAAAGAAGAGUGCCUUCGGGAAUGUAGAUACAGGUGGUGCAUGGCUGUCGUCAGCUCGUGUCGUGAGAUGUUGGGUUAAGUCCCGCAACGAGCGCAACCCUCGUUUUUAGUUGCCAAUUUAUUGGGAUCUCUAGAAAGACUGCCGGUGACAAACCGGAGGAAGGUGAGGAUGACGUCAAGUCAGCAUGCCCCUUAUGUCCUGGGCCACACACGUGCUACAAUGGUAAAGACAAAGAGUCGCCAAUUCGCGAGAAUGAGCUAAUCUCAU